UCAACAUGCGAAGGAGUUUUAAGACAAACAGUUAGAAACAGGUGGUAAUAAUUAUAAAAAUCAACUUCUACGGUAAAAACGAUUUCCUUUUUCCUUUAAUAAAAGUUUUCGCGAUUUGACGUGUCGUUCCUUUAACAUAUCUCGGUCAUCACUUAAAGGCAUGUCCUCACUGUUGAUACAAUAAGGUCUGUCAGCUAGAAAAGGAUUUCGCUUUCUUUUUCUAAUUGUAUUGUUCCUUUGCAAAGGUGGAAGACAUUUGUGGAUUACAAAACUGUUAGAAGAAGUAUUUUUACUUAGACCAGCGACAAAAGAAUAUGGAGGUGGAGCUUUAUAAAUUGAUGUAAACCCGUCAAUUUCGCAUUCUUCUAGUCGAAGAUUUUUAUUAAAGUAGUAAGGAUCAGCAUCCGAUUCUCUGAUUAUCUCAAAUUGCUCCAUUACCAAUUGGUACUGCGAAUUGGAGUUACAAGCACAUGUAAAUAAUAUAAGAACAGGCAGAGAGGGAAGUUACUUAUAAUGUAAACAAACAUUAGCGACCACGAGGUGAAAAAGAUACAAAUAAGAACGUCAAUAUUUCUAUGACAUUAUAC